GACGAACGCUGGCGGCGUGCCUAAUACAUGUAAGUCGAACGAACCGCGACUAAGUGCUUGCACUAAGUCAAGGUGAGUGGCGAACGGGUGAGUAACACGUGGGUAACCUACCUCAUAGUGGGGGAUAACAGUCGGAAACGACUGCUAAUACCGCAUAGGACAUAGGAUCACAUGAUCCAGUGAGGAAAGGUGGCGCAAGCUAUCGCUAAGAGAUGGACCCGCCGUGCAUUAGCUAGUUGGUAGGGUAAAGGCCUACCAAGGCGAUGAUGCAUAGCCGACCUGAGAGGGUGAUCGGCCACAUUGGGACUGAGACACGGCCCAAACUCCUACGGGAGGCAGCAGUAGGGAAUCUUCCGCAAUGGACGCAAGUCUGACGGAGCAACGCCGCGUGAGUGAAGAAGGUCUUCGGAUCGUAAAGCUCUGUUGUUAGAGAAGAACAGCGCAUAGAGUAACUGCUAUGCGUGUGACGGUAUCUAACCAGAAAGCCACGGCUAACUACGUG
rnacentral:rRNA from 1 species